CUACGGGGGGCACCAGUGGGGAAUAUUGCACAAUGGAGGAAACUCUGAUGCAGCAACGCCGCGUGGAGGAUGACACUUUUCGGAGCGUAAACUCCUUUUAUAUAGGAAGAAGAUGACGGUACUAUAUGAAUAAGCGCCGGCUAACUCCGUGCCAGCAGCCGCGGUAAUACGGAGGGCGCAAGCGUUACUCGGAAUCACUGGGCGUAAAGAGCGUGUAGGCGGAUUAAAAAGUCAGAAGUGAAAUCCUAUAGCUUAACUAUAGAACUGCUUCUGAAACUCUUAAUCUAGAAUAUGGGAAAGGUAGAUGGAAUUUCUGGUGUAAGGGUAAAAUCCGUAGAGAUCAGAAGGAAUACCGAUUGCGAAGGCGAUCUACUAGAACAUUAUUGACGCUGAGACGCGAAAGCGUGGGGAGCAAACAGGAUUAGAUACCCCUGUAGUC
rnacentral:rRNA from 1 species